rnacentral:rRNA from 1 species
AGAGUUUGAUCAUGGCUCAGAAUCAACGCUGGCGGCGUGCCUAACACAUGCAAGUCGAACGAGAAAGUGGAGCAAUCCAUGAGUAAAGUGGCGCCGGGUGAGUAACACGUGACUAACCUACCCUUGAGUGGGGGAUAACUGAGGGAAACCUUAGCUAAUACCGCAUAAUACCUACGGGUCAAAGGAGCAAUUCGCUUAAGGAGGGGGUCGCGGCCGAUUAGUUAGUUGGCGGGGUAAUGGCCCACCAAGACGAUGAUCGGUAUCCGGCCUGAGAGGGCGCACGGACACACUGGAACUGAAACACGGUCCAGACUCCUACGGGAGGCAGCAGUGGGGAAUUUUGCGCAAUGGGGGAAACCCUGACGCAGCAACGCCGCGUGGAGGAUGAAGUCCUUCGGGACGUAAACUCCUUUCGAUCGGGACGAUAAUGACGGUACCGGAAGAAGAAGCCCCGGCUAACUUCGUGCCAGCAGCCGCGGUAAUACGAGGGGGGCGAGCGUUGUUCGGAAUUAUUGGGCGUAAAGGGUGCGUAGGCGGUUUNNNAAUCUUGUGCGAAAUCUCCAGGCUCAACUUGGAGUCUGCACGAGAAACUGCCGGGCUUGAGUGUGGGAGAGGUGAGUGGAAUUCCUGGUGUAGCGGUGAAAUGCGUAGAUAUCAGGAGGAACACCUGUGGCGAAAGCGGCUCACUGGACCACAACUGACGCUGAUGCACGAAAGCUAGGGGAGCAAACAGGAUUAGAUACCCUAGUAGUCC